UGCUCAGAUGACGCUGCGCCAGCUACACAUGCAAGUCGAACGGUAGCACAGAGAGCUUGCUCUUGGGUGACGAGUGGCGGACGGGUGAGUAAUGUCUGGGAAACUGCCCGAUGGAGGGGGAUAACUACUGGAAACGGUAGCUAAUACCGCAUAACGUCGCAAGACCAAAGUGGGGGACCUUCGGGCCUCACACCAUCGGAUGUGCCCAGAUGGGAUUAGCUAGUUGGUGAGGGUAAUGGCUCACCAAGGCGACGAUCCCUAGCUGGUCUGAGAGGAUGACCAGCCACACUGGAACUGAGACACGGUCCAGACUCCUACGGGAGGCAGCAGUGGGGAAUAUUGCACAAUGGGCGCAAGCCUGAUGCAGCCAUGCCGCGUGUAUGAAGAAGGCCUUCGGGUUGUAAAGUACUUUUCAGCGAGGAGGAAGGCAUUAAGGUUAAUAACCUUAGUGAUUGACGUUACUCGCAGAAGAAGCACCGGCUAACUCCGUGCCAGCAGCCGCGGUAAUACGGAGGGUGCAAGCGUUAAUCGGAAUUACUGGGCGUAAAGCGCACGCAGGCGGUCUGUCAAGUCGGAUGUGAAAUCCCCGGGCUCAACCUGGGAACUGCAUUUCCAACUGGCAAGCUAGAGUCUUCGUAGAGGGGGGUAGAAUUCCAGGUGUAGCGGUGAAAUGCGUAGAGAUCUGGGAGGAAUACCGGUGGCGAAAGGCGGCCCCCUGGACGAAGACUGACGCUCAGGUGCGAAAGCGGUGGGGAGCAAACAGGAUUAGAUACCCUGGUAGUCCACGCCGUAAACGAUGUCUAUUUGGAGGUUGUUCCCUUGAGGAGUGGCUUCCGGAGCUAACGCGUAAUAGACGCUGGGAGUACGCGCAGUA
rnacentral:rRNA from 1 species